UGUUAGUGCAGAUAUUGAGCGAAACUGGUUGGCAGUGAAAAAGUACAUCGGCAAUAAUCGGAAUUUUGGCAGAUCGGAUGGAAUGAAAACUAUGAAGCUUAUUGGAAACCACUGUUUGCCAUUAAUCAUCAACGUUUUCCAUUACAGAACAACCGUCAUAACUACCGCUGAUAAAGGCGCAUCUCCACGGAAGUUCUAAAGCAUGGUUAAUUGGAAAGGAUGCCGAAAGACUGCGGCCACAAUAAGCGCCGCCAUAUACGAACACCACCACUCUUCACCAGCAGCAACAUGUUCAACUUUUUUUUCGUCAAGUGAAUUGAAUUAAAAUGUGUACACGUUCAGUUCGCGUUAGAUUCAAGCGACUUGCUCAAUUUAAUUGCCUUGUCUAAACG